rnacentral:rRNA from 2 species
GGGUUGUGAGGUUAAGCGACUAAGCGUACACGGUGGAUGCCCUGGCAGUCAGAGGCGAUGAAGGACGUGCUAAUCUGCGAUAAGCGUCGGUAAGGUGAUAUGAACCGUUAUAACCGGCGAUUUCCGA